UGGAGUUAUGACUGCCAGAUGAAGAAGUUGACUUGGAAGUAGUGGUAUCAGGGCUUAAUGUACUGCCAUCAGGUUGAGUAUUUACUUGCUGCAGAUGAUCAUGGUUCUUAGAAGCCGAUAAGUUGCUGGUCCCUGGAUUAUUUGGAAAGGUAAGUUCUGGGAAGUUAGUGUAGAAAGAACUGAGUUUAACAUGAUCAUGGUUCUUAGAGGCCGAUAAGUUGCUGGUCCCUGGAUUAUUUGGAGAGGUAAGUUCUGGGAAGUUAGUGUAGAAAGAACUGAGUUUAAUAGCACCCUCGGCACCAUGGACCGAAUCAAUCACAAGUUGAAGUUUCUGCAACGAGUGG
rnacentral:lncRNA from 1 species